rnacentral:rRNA from 1 species
GAUCGUAAAACUCUGUUGUAAGGGAAGAACAAGUACGUUAGGAAAUGAACGUACCUUGACGGUACCUUAUUAGAAAGCCACGGCUAACUACGUGCCAGCAGCCGCGGUAAUACGUAGGUGGCAAGCGUUGUCCGGAUUUAUUGGGCGUAAAGCGCGCGCAGGUGGUUUCUUAAGUCUGAUGUGAAAGCCCACGGCUCAACCGUGGAGGGUCAUUGGAAACUGGGGAACUUGAGUGCAGAAGAGGAUAGUGGAAUUCCAAGUGUAGCGGUGAAAUGCGUAGAGAUUUGGAGGAACACCAGUGGCGAAGGCGACUGUCUGGUCUGUAACUGACACUGAGGCGCGAAAGCGUGGGGAGCAAACAGGAUUAGAUACCCCGGUAGCAAGAUGGAG